AGAGGCGAUGAAAGACGUGGAAGCCUGCGAUAAGGCUCGGGGAGCUGGCAAACAAGCUGUGAUCCGGGCAUCUCUGAAUGGGGAAACCCACCGGUCUUCGGACCGGUACCGUACGGUGAAUACAUAGCCGUACGGGGCGAACUCGGGGAACUGAAACAUCUAAGUACCCGAAGGAAAAGAAAUCAACCGAGAUUCCCUCAGUAGCGGCGAGCGAACGGGGAGCAGCCCUUAAGCUGGACAACUGGUAGGAGAAGGCCCUGGAAAGAGCCGCCAUAGUGGGUGAUAGCCCCGUAUCCGAAACCUGAGUCCAGUGAAAUCGAGUAGGACGGGACACGAGACAUCCUGUCUGAACAUGGGGGGACCAUCCUCCAAGGCUAAAUACUCCUGACUGACCGAUAGUGAACCAGUAC
rnacentral:rRNA from 13 species